AGAGGAAAGGGAGAUUGCGUGAAGAUGGGAAGACACCGGGGCCAGGAAAAGCCAUCCUUCAUGAGCUUGACAGCCCUGGGAGCCGACAGAGGGACUUACUGAACGGGACUAAAGGUUCAAGUUGGGUAUGCAGAGACCAGGAAGACUUUGGGAGACACCAUCCCACCUGAGGAUAACAGGCAUGCCUGGUGCCUAUGGAAGCCGGAAGAAGCCUUUGGAGCCCCUGGAACUGACAUUACAGAUAAUCGUGAACUGUCAUUUGGGUGGUGAGAACAGAGCCCAGGACCUCUGGAAGAGCAACCAGUGCUCUUAACCACUGAGCCAUCCCUCCAGCCAUCUCUAUUCUCUGCUUGUCUUUUAUGUCUUAGUUCUUCCAUAUUCAAGUCUCUGAACACCCGACUGCUGAUCACUUGUGACAUGUGCUGUGGGCUUGGCCAGUGUGCCUUGAGGCUGUGGCAGCCCUGCUAAGAGGUGAAGUCAGAGGGGCAGGUUCCAGCCACCUACACCCCAAGUCCUACAGUCUCCGGGGUUUGGUCAGCCUGGUGUGCACUGGCUGGCCCUCUCCUUGUGGUUGUGGCUGGUAGCCUGGGAGGAGAGAGAGUGGGGUAAGCCACUCACCCCCACGGCUGCCUUCUGAGGCCAGCCAGCUCGCUGGGCCAUUAACCAGGCAAGCCACGGCAGCAAUAAAAUUAAUUUCCUUUCCUAAUA
rnacentral:lncRNA from 1 species